AUUAGCUGGAACUGCCAAGGUUUAGAUCAACCUCAGACAGUCCAAGAACUUGUGUCUCUCUCAAAGACACGCCGGCCCAACGUUAUUUUUCUUUCUGAAACAAGAAAAAAUAAAGAGUAUGUUGAGAGUUUGCAUAAUCGCUUGGGUAUAAAAAAUGUGUUUAUUGUUUCUGUUCCUCCAGGCAAAGGUCGUGGUGUAGCGGUCUUUUGGGAUGAUCUUUAUACUCUGGAGCUGAAUAAAUAUGGUGACAUUUUAUUGGCAUGUACGUCUGCAAAUAAGAUGGCACUAAGUGGAAAAGUACCUUUGUCUAUGGUAAACCAAAGACGAGCCAAAAGUAUGUUAUGCGGGAUCUGUUAA
rnacentral:rRNA from 1 species